rnacentral:lncRNA from 1 species
GUAUCAUUUUCUUUUUGGUUUUGAGUUUGUCACAUAUAUGUAGGCAUGAUAGUGUGUUUGAUUUUUAGGGUACCCAUCCCUACCAGAUCCUCUUAAUUUUUUUUUGGAUUUAAACUUUCAGUUUUGAGACAGAUUCAGGUAGGAAAGUGAUUAUUUGAGUCGGAUUUGGGAUGCAUGUGGGUUUUUAACACUUGGUACCUGCUAUGUGAAUCUGUAUAUGACUUAAUAUAGUUUGGAGCUUUUUUGUUUUAGUAUAAUAAUAUAAUAGAGAUUAUGCGUUUUAAAUUUGGUCAAUGUCAGUGCAACUAAAUGGAAGAGACUAGAACAAUGUUGCAAUCUGGCUUCACAUAACUUUGGUCCAUUUGUAAAAAAAAUGAUCAGUUUUGGAUCUGAAACCCCAACCCUGAUCCAUUAAUCACAAAGUGGACAGCUUAACCCCAAAGCCCCAGUUCCUCAAAUCCUCACCAAAUUUUGGGCAGGGUAGGAGCAGCUACCCAAUGCCCCCCUCUUUCCCUCUUCGUCACGAUGGGAGCACUAAAUCAGGGUUGGUGGCGGCUGGAUGCAGCACUGAUGGACAAGAUGCAGUGUCUGGCGGGAGUUUGGGUGGCCACAGUCGGUGGUGUGGCACAGAGACUCUCUCUCUCUCUCUCUCUCUCACACACACACACACUCAGUCACUCGCUCUCUCUCUCAGAGGCCCUCAUAACUGGUGGUCCAAACCCCCAACAACUUUAGGCAGGGUUUCAGUCCAAUGCCAAAUAAAAGGUCUCAUAUCCAAUGCUACCACUGUGGCUGAAGCCCAGCAUCUUCCCUCCACGAGACCGGCUUUGCCAUCUUUAGUGUAGGAUUGAACAAAGUCACGUGUUCUAGUUUACAUUUGCUUACAUAUUUUCCAAAUGGAGGAUUCAUUGCUGAAAGAUCAGGGGCUUUAGGUUCUGCUGUACAUAAUCAAUCUAGACAGAAAGGGGGCUUUAGAAUUUCAAGGUUGGCAUCAAGUCGGAUUUUUUCGGGUACCAGGUUUUACCUCACCUGCUUAAACUGUAUAUGGGUACACUUUAAUCGGGUUUGGGAUGGUUCGAGUGGAAAAUUAGAUAUCAAAAUUGAGUUUGGUGUUUUGACAGUCGAGUUUAGGCCUGCAUACAGUGAGAUUUGGUGGUAUGGUACCCAUUGCUACUUGUAUGGACAUGAGUGUGCCUAGGUAAACACUGUUUGUGGUGCUCAUAGACCAUAAUCUGCCAUAAAUACCCUCUACUCCAUGUGCUUGCCACACCUCAUGAAGUGAUAGGUGGUCAUCUUUAAGAAAUUCCAGAUGGCUAUCCUUGGUCCCUGACCAACCAUAUUUAAACAAUAGUAGAUGAAAAGGAAUUGUGAUCUUUAUAAAUACAUGCCAUAAGUAAUAUGGCAUUGAUCUGAGCGUCGUGAAUCAUAAUUGUAUAAUUUCGACCUAUAUGAGGCUUUGUACAAUCUAAUAAUGGAUAAUUUUAACUAAUUUUAUUGUCAAGCCAACUAUGUUGUCUGUUUUCCUAGUCAAUCUUUUAGAAAUUUUCAUAUUGAAUUUUUUUUAAUCUGGUAACCAUUUGGUACUAUAUGUUCUCCUUCAAAUACUUCGUAUCAACGGACUGGUUUUCCUGAACAAAGAUAUGAGCAUUAAUGAUUGGAAUAGUACAUGCCUUCGAUUAUUGUUUGGUUUGCUGGAAAUAGGAUGAAAAAGAAAACAUCAAAGCAAAGGCAAUUUCCCAGGAGCAAGGGAAAUACAUAGACCGACAGUUUUGGUCAAGGAUUUGAAUCCCAGUCCAAGGUUGGUUUCAGUAAUCCAGUGAACCUGUACAGUAUCCGGUACAUCUGGUAGUAAACCAACUGAUAUGCUCGGUACCAAUGAAUACCAUAUGGCUUAAUACUGCCCUUUGCUUGUACCAAUAAAUACCAGGUUGUCUGCAUUGCAGAGACAUAAUUCGGAAGCACCUUGUAAACAGAGUUUUGAACCUUGAUGAUGUCAUGAAGGUUUAGGUUAAUACAGGAUCCUUCUUAAACAGAGUGGAUUGGUGGUAGCUAAUCUUUGAUAGAGUUGGUGAAUCAUCAUGCUGUUUUUUUGGUUCUUCUUAAGGUUUUAGCCUUUCUAGAUUUUCUUGUAUAUGCCAGAUAGUAUCUUGGUCUUUGAGUUGCUUCUCUGUCCUAGGUGUGAAAGUUUAGAGUCAUUGAAACAUCCUCUCUGGGAUCCUUCUNNNNNNNNNNNNNNNNNNNNCUUCUUAAGGUUUUAGCCUUUCUAGAUUUUCUUGUAUAUGCCAGAUAGUAUCUUGGUCUUUGAGUUGCUUCUCUGUCCUAGGUGUGAAAGUUUAGAGUCAUUGAAACAUCCUCUCUGGGAUCCUUCUUAAACAGAGUGGAUUGGUGGUAGCUAAUCUUUGAUAGAGUUGGUGAAUCAUCUUGCUGUGUUUUUGGUUCUUCUUAAG